GACACAGCUACGAGAAUCACUCCGCUUCAGGAAGAGUGGUUGAAUUACCAAGGUUGAGGAGCAGCUCAGUGCAGCAGGAUGUCGGAGCUGCAGGAGCUGAGCUCGCUGGUCUGGCGGCGUCAGGAUGCGGCUGCCGGUCGGAUCUCGGAGCUGCUGGACGGAGCGCUGGCGGACUACAAGGAGCAGAUCUCCCGUUUAAAAGAAGACAACGAGCGACAGAGGAAGCUGCUGGACGCGCUUUUACACCCCGGAGCCCGGCUGUUCCCAACAGUGUUGCCCAAGCAGCUGCUGGUGUGUAAAGAAGAGAAGCAGGAGUGGAGCCCCAGUGUGGACCAGGAGCAGCCAGAGCCGCCACACGUUAAAGAGGAACAGCAGGAGCUCUGGGCCAGUCAGGAGGCAGAGCAGCUUCAAGAUAUCAAGGUCCCAUUCAGCGCUGUUACUCUCAAGAGUGAAGAUGAUGAAGAGGAAGCUGGGCCCUCACAUCUUCAUCAAAGCCAAACUGAGGAGAGCAGAGAGGCAGAGCCUCCUGCCAGCAGCUCCACUGUAAAGAUGGAAACAGAAGCUGCUGGAGAGGAACCGGCCGGAAAUGUAGAUCCAGCUGCUGAUCUCCAACCAGCUAGUAAUGGCCAGCUCCUCUCCUCACACUCCUCUGACUCUAAGACUGAUGACAGUGAGGAUGACAUGGAGGACAGGGUGAACAAAAACACAAGAGUGACACAGUGGAAGUGCCAUUUGUGCGGUUCAAGCUUUAAACAAAGACAGAUGUUAGAUAAGCACAUGAUGAUGCACAAGAGAGAAAAACCAUUCAGCUGCUCAUUAUGUGGCAAAAGUUUUUCACUUAAACGUGGCUUUAACAGACACAAGAGAGUCCACACAGGAGAGAAAGCUUUUAGCUGCUCAGUUUGUCAUCAAAGUUUUGGAGAUAAAACUGACUUUGAAAGACACAUGAGAGUCCACACAGGAGAGAAACCAUUUAGCUGCUCACAAUGUGACAAACGUUUUUCACGUAAAAAUAACUUUUACAGACACAUGAAAGUCCACACAGGAGAGAAGCCAUUUAGCUGUUCAGUUUGUCAUAAAAGUUUUAGCGAUAAAACUAACUUAAAAGUACACGUGAGAGUCCACACAGGAGAGAAACCAUUUAGCUGCUCAGUUUGUCAUAAAGGUCUUAGAGAUAAAAAUAACUUAAAUGUACACAUGAGAGUUCACACAGGAGAGAAACCAUUUAGCUGCUCAGUUUGUCAGAAAGGUUUUAGAGAUAAAAAUAACUUAAAAGUACACAUGAGAGUUCACACAGGAGAGAAACCUUUUAGCUGCUCAGUUUGUCUUAAAAGUUUUAGCGAUAAAACUAACUUAAAAGUACACAUGAGACUCCACACGGGAGAGAAACCAUUUAGCUGCUCAGAAUGUAACAAAAGCUUUUCAGAUAAGCGUAUCUUACACAGGCACAUGAGAUUCCACACAGGAGAGUGACCGUUCAGCUACACUGUAUGAGGGUGAAGUUACAGCCAGUGUGAACAUCUUAAACACCACAAGUGUGAUGGUAAGAGCUGCAGAGCUGCUGCUUCAGCUGGACUGUUCAACAGGACAAUAAAGCAGAGAACUUGCUGAGAGUCCAUCACUCAGGUCGAGGAAAGUCAAACCCUCGUCAGUCAGUGUUGUGGCUGGAGAUGCAGCCACGCCUGAACACUGCUCACACACAUCUUGUGUUACUGCAGGCUCAUGUAAGAGAGCAAUUCUUGUUGCUGUUGUUGUUUGGCUCAACGUCAUGUUUCUGUUCCCUCACAAAUUCUCCUCUGGAUUAAUUCCUCUGGAUUUUGAAUGGGAAGUCAGAGAAGCUCCUGGAGGUGGAACGUGGAGGUGGACCAAGACUUUUGUCCAUAUACUGAUGGAGAUCCUUUUCCGCCGGCUUGGCCAGGGAGCCGCACCUAGCCACAGAGACGGUCUGCGAGUCUGCCGCUGCAGCUGAAGGCCAUGACCAAUAGCAUGUCCACCAGCUUAAUCUUCCAGGUCCAGCACCACGGACAGCACCAUGAGCCGCAUCCUGACCGCCUCCGUGUCCAGCACCAUGGACAGCACCCAGUACGCCACCAUUAGUCAGCACCAUGGACUACAAGCUGAUUAUCUUCGUGUUCAGCACCACGGACAGCGCCUAUGCUCAGCGCCACAGGCAGCACCCUUACCACUCCCGUGUUCAGCACCAAGGACAGCGCCCAGUGCGCCACUAAGUUCACCACCACGGACAGCACCCCGAGCAGCAGUCUGAGCCUCACUGCAGGCACCAUUACAAUACUCUGCAUUAAAUUUUCACUUUCAGAAUCUAAACGCUAUUUACCGAAUCCUAGUAAUUUG